GAUGGAUGUAGUCCCCAGGAUCCUUCCACAGGUGCUGUUGCCCCAUGUCAGACCCCAGCAGUAGCACCCCUGGAUGGGGGCCCCGCUCCUCAGCUGGCAGAGGGAGGUGUUGGUUACUUUCCACACUCGAAACCCUCUGCGUACACUGCUUCAAACAGCUUCUGGAUGGCUGAAUAAGCACAGAAUCUGCACAACCGUACUUGGAAGAGCUGCACAUCAAACCAAGCCAGGAAGAGUUUUUUGCCAGCCAUGAGUGAAGGAAGGAAAAGCCAAAGGAAAGGAGGAUAACCAGAGGCACGAAGGAGGUACAGAAACUCUUGCAUAAUGCUUCCCUCCCCCUUGAAGGUUUGGCUUCUCCAGGUUUGCCAGGUAGACCCCACGUCUGUGGCUCAGGGACUUUCCUUCAGGCCACGGUGUGUCUCCACGACACCCGCAGCUCGGACUGAUCCUCCAGACUCCUCCACACCUCCAUUUUGAGGCCUUCAGGCUGUGUUUUAUCCAACUGUGAAAGAGCAGCUGUGAGCACAGCGUGCAAAGCAGCAAGGCCAGGAGCAAGCGUUGCAAGAGGUUUGAAGGAAAAGGGCUGGUUAUAAGUAGCUGGCCUUUACUAGGUGGUUUACGCCAUGUCUCCCACGUGAGUACGUGUUACGCUCAGUCAAAUAUCGUUAAAGGCUUAACCACACGCACUGGUCACCAUAUUUGCCUUCAAAACUGGAGCAAGACCUCUCCCCUCAGGGAGGGGACAUAGCUGCUGUUAAGCUGAUAUAUCCCCUUUAACGCCUAAUGGAGGCUGCAGACAACUGCUCUGAGCUUAGCUGGACUGUGGGAAUCAGGUAGGCCGUUUCAGAGAAAAGUGGCUGGUGCCUUCAAAGUGGAGUAUGGGUUGAUAAGUGGGGAGCAGAGACAGCAUUUGUAGCUCCUACAGGGUAAUUAUCACUUGUGGAAAACUGAGGAGUUAGCUGGUGGGAGGGAAAUUAUAACCUAGCAAAAAAACCAAUAUCUCUCCCGAUCCUCCAGUCUUUAGUGUCCAAUAACGUUUGGUUUGGUUCAGUUCCAAGACUUAGCUUUUGAAGGUGUUUGGAGAAAUCCCCUGACAGACCUCCACCACAACUGCAAAGCACAGGCUGCUGCAUCUACCUUUUUCUUUCUUUUUUUUUUUUUUUCCCAAAGAUGUACAAAUAUUGGCGAUGCUUCACAGUGAGAGGCUGAAAGAAAACAAACUGCUUCGUUUGGGAGAGCCAGUUGUUGUGAGAUGAGAAGUGACUUAAUUACAGUAAGUCCCUUUACAGCAA
rnacentral:lncRNA from 1 species